AAGACGACGACGUUGAUAGGUCGGGUGUGUAAGCGUAGCGAUACGUUGAGCUAACCGAUACUAAUGAACCGUGAGGCUUAACCUU
rnacentral:rRNA from 1 species